AGCAGAGCAGAUUAGCGCAGUGGAAGCGUACUGGGUCUAUAACCCAGAGGUCCAUGGAUCGAAACCACGCUCUGAUA
rnacentral:tRNA from 1 species